GAGGUUUUUGUACGGCCUCUUAAUGAGUUUCUGUCACUCUGGUGGACUUUUGGUGGAGGAACCAAACUCAUCAUUCACUCUGGCCCCAUGGUCAGACCCUCAGUCUCUCUGCUGCCCCCCUCCUCUGAGCAGCUCUCUGGGGGGUCGGCCAUGCUGGUCUGCCUGCUGAGCGGCUACUCUCCUCAGGGAGCCGUUGUGAGCUGGGAGGUGGACGGCACCGAGGUGACAGAGGGGGUCCUGAGCAGCUCAGAGGAGGAAAAGAGCGGACGUUACAGCAGAAGCAGCAGCUUGAGCCUGAGCCAGGAGAACUGGAUGAAAGGAGAGCUGUACUCCUGCAGGGUCCUCCAUCACCACCACAGCCAGAUCAAGUCCUUCAGAAGGAGCCACUGUGAGGGCCAGAGAGGCUGA